UACGUAGGGUGCGAGCGUUGUCCGGAAUUACUGGGCGUAAAGCGUGCGCAGGCGGUUUGCUAAGACAGGUGUGAAAUCCCCGGGCUUAACCUGGGAACUGCGCUUGUUACUGGCAAGCUGGAGUGUGGCAGAGGGGGGUGGAAUUCCACGUGUAGCAGUGAAAUGCGUAGAUAUGCGGAGGAACACCGAUGGCGAAGGCAAUCCCUGGGCCUG
rnacentral:rRNA from 1 species